rnacentral:lncRNA from 1 species
UAGUAACUAUGUUUUACAAUCGUUGUAAAAGUGUGACUAAUAAGAAGUAGAAGAUAUAUGAGUGAAGAAAAGGUGCUUCACAUUCGGAACGUGAAUAAAUAUAGAUCUCUGCGAAAGCAGAUAGUACUUACUUCCUCAUAUGAACUACCAAAGAAAUUGGAAAAACCAAAGAUUGUCUUUACAUUCCAAUUUUAAGGAACUAAAUUCCGUCACUAUA